GCCAAGCCUUGAUAGAAGCAGCAUCUUUUUAUCCGCCGCAGCGGCCAAAAGAUAUAGCGGAUAGCAGGAUUAGCU
rnacentral:sRNA from 1 species